UAGGGGUAAAUUAAUUGGGGUAGUAUAUUAAUAAAAAAAUUUUUAAAGUAUGAAAUAUUUAAUGGGGGUUAAAGUAUUUUAUAGGAAAAAAUUUUUAGGUUUAUAGAGUAUUAUGUAUUGAAAAAGAAUUUUGAAAUAAUAGUUGAAAUAUAUAAUUAUUUUAAAAGUAAAUUUUGUUUGUUGUAUCUUGUGUAUCAGAGUUUAUUAAUAAAAUUUUUUAUGGUAAAAUUUCUCGAAUUUAAAGGAGAGAAUUAAUUAAUAAAUUUAUUGUGGUAAAAAUAUUUUUAAUAAUUAAUUUGAAAUGAAAUGUUAAUCGUUUUUAAAUAUAUCUAGUUUUUUUAGAAAAAAAUUUAAUUUUAAAUUUUUAUAAAAAUUAAAUUAAUUGUUAUUUAAUUUUUUUGAAAAUUUUAUAUUUUAGGGGAUAAGCUUUAAAUUAAAUUAAUAUAAAUGAAUGAGGUUAUUUAUUUAAAAUUUUUAUGAUUUAUAUUUUUAAUAAAUUUUAAUUUGUUAUAAAUAAUUUUAUUUAAGAUUAAAAUUUAAGAUUGUUUAUUUUAUUUUUUUAUAAAAAAGUAAAUUUUAAUUAGAAAGAUUUAAUUAUAAUGAUAAAAUUAGUAUAUAAUUUGAUUAGUAAGAUAUAUUAAAUUAAAAUUAAUUUAAGUUUGAGGAAUUCGGCAAAUUUUUAUAUUCACUUGUUUAUCAAAAACAUGUCUUUUUGAAAAUAAUUUAAGGUCUAAUCUGCCCACUGAUUUUUAAUUAAAGGGCUGCAGUAUUUUGACUGUACAAAGGUAGCAUAAUCAUUAGUCAUUUAAUUGGUGACUUGUAUGAAAGAUUGGAUGAAAUAUAGACUGUCUUGGAUUUAAAUGUAAAAUUUAAUUUUUUAAUUAAAAAGUUAAAAUAUUUUAAAAAGACGAGAAGACCCUAUAGAGUUUAAUAUAUUAUUUUUAUUAAAGUUGUUUAUUAAGUAAAAAUUUAAAUUUAAAUAAUAUAUUUGGUUGGGGUGAUUAAAAAAUAUGAAUAACUUUUUUUAUUUGUAAACAUGGAUUAAUGGUUGAGUGAUCCAAUAUUUAUUGAUUAAAAGAUAAAAUUACCUUAGGGAUAACAGCGUAAUUUUUUUUUUUAGUUCACAUAAAAAAAAAAGUUUGCGACCUCGAUGUUGGAUUAAGAUAAAAUUUGAAUGUAGAAGUUUAAACUUUUGAUCUGUUCGAUCAUUAAAAUCUUACAUGAUCUGAGUUCAAACCGGUGUAAGCCAGGUUGGUUUCUAUCUUUUAUUAGGUGAAAUAUUUUAGUACGAAAGGAAUAAAUAUUUAAAUUAUAUUUAUUAUAUUUAGGAAUUUUAAUAAUUUUAGUUGUAUAUUUUAAUAUUUUAAAAUGAGGUAAUUAAUAGAAAAAUA
rnacentral:rRNA from 1 species